rnacentral:rRNA from 1 species
AUGUAUAACCUUCCUCCUUGGAUGUGCAUGGAGCGGAAGUUCAUUAUGAUGCCAGUUCUCAUCCAAGGCCCUAAGAAACCCGGCAACGACAUUGAUGUGUACCUAAGGCCAUUAGUUGAAGAACUUUUACAGCUGUGGAAUGGAAAUGGUGUACGUACGUGGGAUGAGCACAAACAGGAGGAAUUUCACCUAAAGGCGUUGCUGUUUGUGACCAUCAACGAUUGGCCCGCUCUCAGUAACCUUUCAGGACAGACAAACAAGGGAUACCACGCAUGCACGCACUAUUUACUUGACACCGAUAGUAUAUACCUGGGAAGCUGCAGGAAGAAUGUGUACCUGGGCCAUCGUCGAUUUCUUCCGACCAACCAUCAAUGUCGAAAUAAAGGCAAGCAUUUCAAAGGUGAGGCAGAUCACCGGAAGAAGCCCGCCAUGCGUACCGGUGAUCACGUACUUGCUAUGGUCAAUGAUUUACACGCUGGGGGACACGCACCCAUGUGGAAGAAGAAAUCUAUAUUUUGGGACCUACCCUACUGGAAAGACCUAGAGGUCCGCUCUUCGAUCGACGUGAUGCACGUGACGAAGAACCUUUGCGUGAACCUGCUACGCUUCUUGGGCGUAUAUGGGAAGACAAAAGAUACAGCUGAGGCACGGGAGGACCUGCAACGUUUGCACGAAAAAGACGGCAUGCCUCCAAAGCAGUAUGAAGGUCCUGCCAGCUAUACUCUUACCAAAGAAGAGAAGGAAAUCUUCUUUGAAUGCCUGCUUAGUAUGAAGGUCCCGACUGGAUUCUCGUCGAAUAUAAAAGGAAUAAUAAAUAUGGCAGAGAAAAAGUUUCAGAACCUAAAGUCUCAUGACUGCCACGUGAUUAUGACGCAACUGCUUCCGGUUGCAUUGAGGGGGCUUCUACCGGAAAACGUCCGAUUAGCCAUUGUGAAGCUAUGUGCAUUCCUCAAUGCAAUCUCUCAGAUGGUGAUCGCUCGA